rnacentral:rRNA from 1 species
GAUGAACGCUGGCGGCGUGCCUAAUACAUGCAAGUCGAGCGAACAGACGAGGAGCUUGCUCCUCUGACGUUAGCGGCGGACGGGUGAGUAACACGUGGAUAACCUACCUAUAAGACUGGGAUAACUUCGGGAAACCGGAGCUAAUACCGGAUAAUAUAUUGAACCGCAUGGUUCAAUAGUGAAAGACGGUUUUGCUGUCACUUAUAGAUGGAUCCGCGCCGCAUUAGCUAGUUGGUAAGGUAACGGCUUACCAAGGCAACGAUGCGUAGCCGACCUGAGAGGGUGAUCGGCCACACUGGAACUGAGACACGGUCCAGACUCCUACGGGAGGCAGCAGUAGGGAAUCUUCCGCAAUGGGCGAAAGCUUGACGGAGCAACGCCGCGUGAGUGAUGAAGAUCUUCGGAUCGUAAAACUCUGUUAUUAGGGAAGAACAAAUGUGUAAGUAACUAUGCACGUCUUGACGGUACCUAAUCAGAAAGCCACGGCUAACUACGUG